AACGAACGCUGGCGGCAUGCUUAACACAUGCAAGUCGAGCGCACCCUUCGGGGUGAUCGGCAUACGGGGGAGGAACGCGAGGGAAGCGACCCUUGGCUACGGAAUAGCUCCGGGAAACGGGAAUUAAUACCGAAUGUGCCCUUAUGGGGAAAGAUUUAUCGGCAAGAGAUGUGCCCUCGUUGGAUUAGCUAGUUGGUGGGGUAAAGGCCUACCAAGGGGACGAUCCAUAGCUGGGCUGAGAGGAUGAUCAGCCACAUGGGGACUGAGACACGGCCCAAACUCCUCCGCGAGGCAGCAGUGGCGAAUAUUGGACCACGGCCGCAAUCAUGAUGCAGCCCUGCCGCGUGAGUGAUGAAGGCCUUAGAGUUGUAAAGCUCUUUCAACGGAGCAGAUCAUGACGGUAUCCGGAGAAGAAGCCCCGGCUAACUUCGUG
rnacentral:rRNA from 1 species